UACGAUCACAUCACGUUGAAAUAGCGGUUCCCGUACGAUCACCGAAGUUAAGUAACGUUGAGUUUUAUCAGCACCUAGAUGGGUAACUGCUGGGGAAUACCAGAAGCUGUAA